rnacentral:tRNA from 1 species
GGAGAGGUGGCCGAGUGGUUUAAGGCAGCGGUCUUGAAAACCGCCGACGAGUAAUCGUCCGAGAGUUCGAAUCUCUCUCUCUCCG